GACGAACGCUUGCGGCGUGCCUAAGAAAUGCAAGUCGAACGGGCACAGGCUUCGGCCGGUGUCAGUGGCGAACGGUCGCGUAACACGUGGGCAACCUGCCCUAAAGUGGGGGAUAACCGCCCGAAAGGGUUGCUAAUACCGCAUGUGGUCACUCUCUCGCAUGGGAGAGUGUCUGAAGGGUCUAAUGAGAGUUGGACUCGCUUUAGGAUGGGCUUGCGGCCUAUCAGCUAGUUGGUGGGGUAACGGCUUACCAAGGCGAUGACGGGUAGCCGGCCUGAGAGGGCGACCGGCCACACUGGGACUGAGACACGGCCCAGACUCCUACGGGAGGCAGCAGUGGGGAAUAUUGCGCAAUGGGCGAAAGCCUGACGCAGCGACGCCGCGUGGGGGAUGAAGGCCU
rnacentral:rRNA from 1 species